AGCCGUACUCCGGCAGGAAUGUCUCUUUUCAUUCCCAUCACCAUCAGCCUAUGGAACUCCAUUCAUCUUUCAAGAUAUAUAGAAAAAGUUUUAAGUGAACAUGUUUUCUCUACCACACACUCUGCCAUCACUGCCUUGCACAGGUCCAAAGGCAACAAGGACUGAAAUCUCCAAAACUGUGCAGACCAUAUGCAACAACAGUUCAUGAGAGCUAUGAAGACAUAUUACCCAUAUCCCCAUUCAUAUCAACUCUGAAGUAUCAUCUUUUGUGUAGAAUGACUGAAUUCAUUUUAGAUUCUUCAUAAUAGAAUAAUGCCCAUCCAAAUAUAUCUAUGGCCUAAUCCCCUGAACCUGUGAAUAUAUAAGGUUAAAUGGAAAAAGGGAAUUGCAUAUGGAGUAGGAUUGCUGAUCAGCUAUCUUCAAGAUGGAGAUGUAAUUGUGGAUUGCCUGGAAGAAACUAAUAAUAAGCACAAGAUCCCCUAAAGGUUAAAAAAAAAGGAAACAGGAGAUGAAGUGACAAACUCUGAGACAGACUUGAUGCAUCAUUACUGGCUUCAAAGAUGGAAGAAUGGGAUAAGAACCAAGGAAUGUGGGCUAUCUCUAGAAGCUGGAAAAGAAAGAAAAUGGACUUUCUUUGGGGGAUUUCUAGAGGGAAACUCAUUUUGGAAGACACCUUGAUUUCAAUUAGGUGAGACCAGUGUUGGAAUUUUAAUCCAUAGCACUGUAAAAUGAUGAAUGUGUGUGUUGUUUUGUGGGGUGUUUUUGGCCAUAUUGUUCGUGGUAAUUUGCUACAACAGCAAAUUAUCUCUCUUUGACCAUGUUGGCUUCCUUCUUUCCCACAGGGAUGUUGAUUCUGAAUGUAUUUCCUAGUCAACUUCAUGCAAUGAAUCUCCAUCUCAAAGUUCUUGUUCACGUGGCACGUGACCUAUAAUAACACUGCCAAACAUUUGUCUCCUUAAUAUGUUUCCACUUGUAAUACAGAUCUCCUGUUCACCUAAUCAUGAGUGGCACUUCUGAGACAAUUAUAUCAGCUGAAAAACACAAGAGAGUUGAAGUUUUGUUUGCAAAUUUGCAGUCUGAAUAGAGCAUGUCAGACUAUGAGGGACCAUGGUCAAGAGUGUGACUGUAAUGCAUUGUGAGUCAGGUGAAUCACAGGCUGCUAUGCUUUGAAUGUUUGUGUUCCUUCCAAAAUUCAUGUUGAAACUUAAAACUCAAUGUUUUGUCAUCAUUAAGAAGUGGGGCUGUUAGGAGGUGAUUAAGUCAUGAGUCUCUGCCCUCAUGGAUGGGGGUAUUAACCUUGGCUAAGGGCUGAAAGUAACUAGAUAGACCCCCUUUGCCCUCUGUCCCUUUUGUCAUGUGAGGACAUAGCACUUAAGAUGCCAUCUUGGAAUCAGGAACCAGGUCUUUACCACAAAGCAAAUCUGCCAGCACCUUGAUCUUAGGUUUACCAGCCUUCAGAAAUGUUAACAAUAAAUUUCUGUUAUUUAUAAAUUACUCAGAUCAGACAAUCGUAUUUUGUCAUAGAAUUAGAAAAGGGCUAAGACAGAGACCUAGAUCAAUCAGGGUAGCCCAGGCAAACACUAUAGGUCAUGUCAGCGAGGGAGUCUUUGAGAAGAAUCUCUGAGCCAUGUUUUAGGAAUCUAGCCCAGCAUACUGGAAGACAGAGAAUCCAGAACCAGAGGGCCCAGUCAUCGGUCAUCGAGAUUCCUGAGCCUUUUCCCAUUCUGAUGCAGAUAGCAUGAGCCUCCUCUCCUACUUGAAAAGCUUUUUCAGAGCAUAAUUUCCAAAUAACAGCAGGAAAACGUGUUUUUUUUUUUUUUUUUUUUGUGUGUGUGUGUGGGGGGGUGUUUUAAAGCAAAUAAAGCUAUUAGGGAAGGCAAAAGGAAUCAUAAUUUCAAGCAAUUUCUCAUUUCUAAUUGAAAAACAAAACCAAAAUAAUGAGGCCCAGAUGCAUGAUUGAAUGUCAUCAUGUAAGUAAAGGAAAAGCAAAAUGUGUUCCUCACUAUCACCUGUCAAUGCAACAUACAGUGUGCAAGGAUAGAGGGGAUAUAAGCUCCUAUUACUGUCACUGGGGCUGCACCUGGGACCUGAGAGACACAGCAAAUGCAUUAGGUACAAAAUGUGUUCAUUUGAGCUUUUUUUCUUAAGAUGUCAUGAAGCCUUUUCACAUGAGUCAGUAUAUGAAGCACACAGCCUGCUGCAGUAUCUUGAACAGAAUUACUCUGGUGCCAAAUGGACCAUGGUGAUAACCUAACUACCUUGAUCCAUGUUGUGAAUUGAUCUGAAGAUUCAAAUUA